AUUGAACGCUGGCGGCAGGCCUAACACAUGCAAGUCGAACGAGGCGCGGGCGGGUGAGUAAUGUCUGGGAAACUGCCUUAUGGAGGGGGAUCACUACUGGAAACGGUCGCUAAUACCGCAUACUAUCGGAUGCCCCUAUAUGGGAUUAGCUAGUAGGUGGGGUAAAGGCUCACCUAGGCGACGAUCCCUAGCUGGUCUGGGAGGAUGACCAGCCACACUGGAACUGAGACACGGUCCAGACUCCUACGGGAGGCAGCAGUGGGGAAUAUUGCACAAUGGGCGCAAGCCUGAUGCAGCCAUGCCGCGUGUAUGAAGAAGGCCUUCGGGUUGUAAAGUACUUUCAGCGGGGAGGCGUUACCCGCAGAAGAAGCACCGGCUAACUCCGUGCCAGCAGCCGCGGUAAUUC
rnacentral:rRNA from 1 species